rnacentral:rRNA from 1 species
CACGUAGGGGGCAAGCGUUGUCCGGAUUUAUUGGGCGUAAAGAGCUCGUAGGUGGUUCGGUAAGUCGGGUGUUCAACCCCCAGGCUCAACCUGGGGACGCCACUCGAUACUGCUGUGACUAGAGUCCGGUAGGGGAGCGUGGAAUUCCUGGUGUAGCGGUGAAAUGCGCAGAUAUCAGGAGGAACACCAGUGGCGAAGGCGGCUCACUGGACCGGAACUGACGCUGAGGCGCGAAAGCGUGGGGAGCAAACAGG